rnacentral:tRNA from 1 species
GGCUCUGUGGCGCAAUGGAUAGCGCAUUGGACUUCUAAGCAAGCACUUCAGCAGUGAUUCAAAGGUUGUGGGUUCGAGUCCCACCGGAGUCG